AGGAAGGAGAGUCCUUCUUUUGGAAGGAGUUUGAAUGCCAGAUAAUAAUGGGAUGCCAUAUAUUUGCAUUGGGUAAGAUAGAGUCUUAAGUGUUAAGGACUCUUAAUUAUUUCACGCGUUCUCCCUUUCCACGCGCCAUAUUACAGUGUUCAGAUUUUUUCUAGCAGAGGAAGAGUCCUUUUGCUUGUAAAACACUUCAUUUUCCACAUCUUAACUCAUGGGAUUC
rnacentral:lncRNA from 1 species